rnacentral:rRNA from 1 species
UCGUCAGCUCGUGUUGUGACAUGUUGGGUUAAGUCCCGCAACGAGCGCAACCCUUAUCCUUUGUAACAAAGCGGUCCGGCCGGGAACUCAAAGGAGACUGCCAGUGAUAAACUGGAGGAAGGUGGGGAUGACGUCAAGUCAUCAUGGCCCUUACGACCAGGGCUACACACGUGCUACAAUGGCGCAUACAAAGAGAAGCGACCUCGCGAGAGCAAGCGGACCUCAUAAAGUGCGUCGUAGUCCGGAUUGGAGUCUGCAACUCGACUCCAUGAAGUCGGAAUCGCUAGUAAUCGUGGAUCAGAAUGCCACGGUGAAUACGUUCCCGGGCCUUGUACACACCGCCCGUCACACCAUGGGAGUGGGUUGCAAAAGAAGUAGGUAGCUUAACCUUCGGGAGGGCGCUUACCUCUUUGUGAUUCAAGACUGGGGUGAAGUCGUAACAAGGUAGCCGUA